UACAGAGGGGGCAAGCGUUGUUCGGAAUUACUGGGCGUAGAGGGCGCGUAGGCGGCCUGUUAAGUCGAACGUGAAAUCCCCGGGCUCAACCCGGGAACUGCGUCCGAUACUGGCAGGCUUGAAUUCGGGAGAGGGAUGUGGAAUUCCAGGUGUAGCGGUGAAAUGCGUAGAUAUCUGGAGGAACACCGGUGGCGAAGGCGGCAUCCUGGACCGAUAUUGACGCUGAGGCGCGAAAGCUAGGGGAGC
rnacentral:rRNA from 1 species